rfam:Sorghum bicolor cultivar BTx623 chromosome 7, whole genome shotgun sequence.
AUCCCAUGAUGAGGACAGGCAUGAAUGUACUAUUGGAGAUGUCCCCAUGCUUUGGGAAUUGUCUCAUCAGCUUGUUGUUGGAAGCUGGAAAUCUUUCCACGAAGGGC